rnacentral:rRNA from 1 species
GGUAAUACGGGGGGGACUAGUGUUAUUCGGAAUGACUGGGCGUAAAGGGUGUGUAGGCGGUCUGGUAAGCGUGUGGUGAAAGCCCGGGGCUCAACCCCGGGUCUGCCGUGCGAACUGCCGGACUUGAGCACUGUAGAGGCAGGUGGAAUUCCGAGUGUAGCGGUGGAAUGCGUAGAGAUUCGGAGGAACACCGGUGGCGAAGGCGGCCUGCUGGGCAGUGUCUGACGCUGAGGCGCGACAGCGUGGGGAGCAAACA